rnacentral:rRNA from 1 species
UUCCGGUUGAUCCUGCCGGACCUGACUGCUAUCGGAUUGAUACUAAGCCAUGCGAGUCUUUGCAGUAAUGCAAGGCAUACGGCUCAGUAACACGUAGUCAACUUACCCUAUGGACGAGGAUAAUCUCGGGAAACUGAGCAUAAUACUCGAUAGAUCAUAAUGCCUGGAACGGUUUAUGGUUGAAAUGAUUCGUCGCCAUAGGAUAGGACCGCGGCCUAUCAGCUUGUUGGUGAGGUAAUGGCCCACCAAGGCGAUUACAGGUACGGGCUCUGAGAGGAGAAGCCCGGAGAUGGGUACUGAGACAAGGACCCAGGCCCUAUGGGGCGCAGCAGGCGAGAAAACUUUGCAAUGUGCGAAAGCACGACAAGGUUAAUCCGAGUGAUUUCUGCUAAAGAAAUCUUUUGCAAGUCAUAAAACCACUAGUGAAUAAGGGGUGGGCAAGUUCUGGUGUCAGCCGCCGCGGUAAAACCAGCACCUCAAGUGGUCAGGAGGAUUAUUGGGCCUAAAGCAUCCGUAGCCGGCUCUGUAAGUUUUCGGUUAAAUCCAUGUGCUCAACGCAUGGGCUGUCGAAAAUACUGCAUAGCUAGGGAGUGGGAGAGGUAGACGGUACUCGGUAGGAAGGGGUAAAAUCCUUUGAUCUAUCGAUGACCACCUGUGGCGAAGGCGGUCUACCAGAACACGUUCGACGGUGAGGGAUGAAAGCUGGGGGAGCAAACCGGAUUAGAUACCCGGGUAGUCCCAGCUGUAAACGAUGCAGACUCGAUGAUGCAUUGGCAUAUAGCCAGUGCAGUGUCGCAGGGAAGCCGUUAAGUCUGCCGCCUGGGAAGUACGUACGCAAGUAUGAAACUUAAAGGAAUUGGCGGGGGAGCACCACAAGGGGUGAAGCCUGCGGUUCAAUUGGAUUCAACGCCGGG